rnacentral:rRNA from 1 species
AUUGAACGCUGGCGGCAGGCCUAACACAUGCAAGUCGAGCGGAUGAAGGGAGCUUGCUCCUGGAUUCAGCGGCGGACGGGUGAGUAAUGCCUAGGAAUCUGCCUGGUCGUGGGGGAUAACGUCCGGAAACGGGCGCUAAUACCGCAUACGUCCUGAGGGAGAAAGUGGGGGAUCUUCGGACCUCACGCUAUCAGAUGAGCCUAGGUCGGAUUAGCUAGGUGGUGGGGUAAAGGCCUACCAAGGCGACGAUCCGUAACUGGUCUGAGAGGAUGAUCAGUCACACUGGAACUGAGACACGGUCCAGACUCCUACGGGAGGCAGCGGUGGGGAAUGUUGUACAAUAGGCGGGAGCCUAAUCCAGCCCAGCCGCGUGUGUGAAGAAGGUCUUCGGAUUGUAAAGCACUUUAAGUUGUGAGGAAGGGCAGUAAGUUAAUACCUUGCUGUUUUGACGUUACCAACAGAAUAAGCACCGGCUAACUUCGUG